UCUCAUCAGCUAAAGAUUAUCAUCGGAAACAUAGAGUUUGUGAAAGUCAUUCAAAAUCCCCAAAGGUCACUGUAGCUGGUCUGGAACGCAGGUUUUGCCAGCAGUGUAGCAGGUUCCAUGGACUGUCAGAAUUUGAUGAAAAGAAGCGAAGCUGCCGCAGGCGUCUUUCUGAUCACAAUGCAAGGCGUCGCAAGCCACAGCCUGAAUCAGGCCAAUUGAAUCCUGCAAGGCUGUCAUCAUCCCUAUAUGGUGAGAGGCAACAAACGAGUCUCGUUUGGAACAGGGCCCCACUUAUUCAUUCCAGGCCUAAUGCAAAUUUGACAUGGGAAGGCACAUCCAGCUCUAAGUUCACGAUAACAAAAAAGUGUGUAAUGAAGCCUCUAAAAGUAGGAGGUACUGAUGGGCAGCUGAAUUUGCCUGGUAAUGAGAUGACAACUUCCAUUCCUAUGCAUCCUCAUGAUUCCAAGAGCUUGUUGCCAUCCAAAUCCAAGGUCACCACAGUUGAGGUUCUCAACCAAGGUUUAGAAGAAUCAAUUAUCUCACCCAAUGUGGAUGCGACACAGGAUCUUCAUCGUGCUCUCUCUCUUCUGUCAACCAAUUCUUGGGGUUCAUGUGAGCAAAAAUCCGUUUCACAUGAGCAGCCUGCACACACAAGUGCAAGUCACACAGGCAUGCCACAGUCCGUGCUGCAUGUUAUGUCCCAAGGCAUGCCACUUGCCUCAACCGAUUACUGGAGGACUGNNNNNNNNNNNUCUCGAGAGCAUACCUUGACUGCUCACAAUGAUAGCAGCAGUUACUUUCAAGAGUUCCAGCUGUUAAGAAACCCAUAUGAUAGUGACUUCUACUCUAGUCAGUUGAACUGACUGCUUGAAAUUCAAUCAUUUUCAAAUUGAUAAGUUCACUUGCCAAGUAAGGAUCUUGGCUGUCUUGACCUGUGCUUCAGAUUUCAGAUGAUGGUGAUUUAAAAUUCCAAGAUGAUGUUUUCUCCCAAAUUAUCGUUGAGAAUUGCAAUUUCAAACUUUCCAUUAAUUGCAUGUUAUUGUAAUUGAUGGGAUGAACAUUACUCCUGACAGUGUUUUGGAACUUCUAAAAGUCAGAUGGGAUUGUAACUUAGAUCGUCUUUUUGACAUGCCAAUCUUCGUUGAUAAGUAGAA
rnacentral:misc_RNA from 1 species